rnacentral:lncRNA from 1 species
CACCACAUAGGCAUCUACAAGCCAGUUGGCCCAACACCAGUUAUUUCAUGAACAGGAAAAAAUAGAUACUCCAUUUUUCUUGGAAAGUCUGCUGGAUGAUGUUUUUCUUCAGUAAAAUAAAUGAAGGCAAAUUCCCUGAUAACUGAGACAAAUUCAGAGAGAAGAAGGAGAACUACUGAGCUGCUGAAUUUCUGACAGACAUACUUGCAAGGACUAUGAAGUUCUACUUAGCCUCUUCAAUAAACCAGACUCCAUCUGCUGUAACUGUGACUGCAUGGGGAUCAAAACCUUUGUAUUAUAAUCCUCAUAACAUGAAGCUAUGGUAACAAACAAGCAACCAUUGGUAAAAAGCCUGAUAUGUCCUUGUUGUGUGUGUGAACCACAAAGCAACCAUCACUCUUAAGGAUGUUUUUAUGUACAUCAAAUGUUCAUUGUUUCACUGGAAAAAUUGUGAUUUUGAAUCAUUUAAGAAAUCAUGUUUUAUAAUGUGUUUUAUAAUAUAGUGCAAGUCAUGAUAUAACAGAUUCCCUGCAAAAGAAA